GACGAACGCUGGCGGUGUGCUUAACACAUGCAAGUCGAACGGUAAGGCCCUUUAGGGGUUACACGAGUGGCGAACGGGUGAGUAACACGUGAGUAACCUGCACCCACCUCUGGGAUAACAGUCGGAAACGGUUGCUAAUACUGGAACUGAGUUUGCACGGUAUCUUUUAGGUUGGAAAGAUUUUUUUUGGUUGGGGAUGGACUCGCGGCCUAUCAGCUUGUUGGUGAGGUAGUGGCUCACCAAGGCUUCGACGGGUAGCCGGCCUGAGAGGGCGACCGGCCACAUUGGGACUGAGAUACGGCCCAAACUCCUACGGGAGGCAGCAGUGGGGAAUAUUGCACAAUGGACGGAAGUCUGAUGCAGCAACGCCGCGUGCGGGAUGACGGCCUUCGGGUUGUAAACCGCUUUCAAUUGUGACGAAGCUUUUUUGUGACGGUAGCAGUAGAAGAAGCACCGGCUAACUACGUG
rnacentral:rRNA from 1 species